GCUCUAUGAAUACAGCAGUAUUUUUGACUUCCAAUCAAACCGUCUUAGUGAGAAUCUAAGAUAGAGCA
rnacentral:tRNA from 1 species